rnacentral:tRNA from 1 species
GCCGGAGUGGUGGAAUUGGUAGACACAGGGGACUUAAAAUCCCCCGGGCUUAAACGCCUGUACCGGUUCAAGUCCGGUCUCCGGCA